rnacentral:snoRNA from 1 species
UGCUCUGAUGAAAUCAUCUAAAGGAAGUGACGUCAGAAGCGAAAACA